CCCCAGUGACCGACCCGUGGAUGCAUUCAAGACCUUCUGAACGCAUCUGGAACAGCAAAGAGGUGCAUUUUCAAUCCUUGCUUUUCGGAUUGGAGGCCUGUUUUCUUGUUUUAAGCUCAGAUGGUUGACUGGAAUGUAAACCCAAGUCCAUUAGAUGGUGCAGUUGUAGGGAUGAGAGAGAGGGCGGGGGUGGGGGGGGCGGGGGGGUGCUAGCCUAUACGCUGACGUCAAUAAAAACAGUCAUUUUCAACCAGUCUGCGCAUUGACCGACCGUUCAAAACAUUACGCACAGCAUCGCGGCUGGAGCCACGCUAGACUACUCGACUGAAAUAAUUUUUCGCCGAGCCCGGAGAGCGGAGACAAUGCGGACAAACUCCAUUGCAGGUGCAGGAGCAUCUACAACAACCCAGGUGGUGAUGGCAGGAAAGGUCUUCAUGGCGGAUGAUCAUCACCAUCACCACCAUCACACUGCUCUACGCUUUUAGCCUCUUUACAGUGCUGCCUUGUCUAAUCAUGUUCAAGCAGCAUUGUACAGGGCUAUGACAGCAUAGAGAGCUGAGCUGCUCGGGCGCUGCGUUUCUCUGACCCUUUGGAUGGCGGCCAACAAAUGACAUCAUCCGUUAAAAACACUAAACGGCGAUUAUUGCAUGUGUGGACUGUUGGCAAUAGACUGACUUGUCUUUUAAUGUUCACGCUCGUGUCGUCAAAAACUGAGAUGCAUUGCUUUUUUAAUGUUAAAAAAA